GACGAACGCUGGCGGCGUGCUUAACACAUGCAAGUCGUACGGAAAGGCCCUGCUUUUGUGCGGUUCUCGAGUGGCGAACGGGUGAGUAACACGUGAGUAACCUGCCCUUGACUUUGUGAUAUCUUCAGGAAACUGGGGCUAAUACCGGAUAUGAUCUCCUGCUGCACGUUGGGGGAUGGAAAGUUUCGGCUUUUGGGGCUGGACUCGCGGCUUAUCAGCUUGUUUGUGGGGUAGUGGCUUUCCAAGGCUUUGACGGGUAGCCGGCCUGAGAGGGUGACCGGCCACAUUGCGACUGAGAUACGGAGCAGAAUCGUACGGGAGGCAGCAGUGGGGAAUAUUGCACAAUGGGCGGAAGCCAGAUGCAGAGACGCCGCGUGCGGGAUGACGGCCUUCGGGUUGUAAACCGAUUUCGCCUGUGACGAAGCGUGAGUGACGGUAAUGGGUAAAGAAGCACCGGCUAACUACGUG
rnacentral:rRNA from 1 species